AUGGGCUCCGGGCUCCUCUGCUGCGUGGCCCUCUGCCUCCUGGGAGCAGGCCCCUUGGACGCAGCAGUUUUCCAGACUCCAAAGUACCUCGUCGCACAGGUGGGAAAUGCGAAGUCCCUAAGAUGUGAACAGAAGCUGAGCCGUGAUGCUAUGCACUGGUAUAAGCAGGACGCCCAGCACGGACUGCAGGCCACGUUCACCUACAGUAAUAAGAAACUCAUUGUAAACGAGACAGUUCCAAGUCGUUUCUCCCCCAAAUCUCUGGACAAAGCUCAUUUGAAUCUUCAUGUGGACUCCUUGGAGCCAGGCGACUCUGCUGUGUACUCUGUGCCAGCAGCCGUGACACAGCCCUGCAAAGUCACCGCCUCCCUGUGCACAAACCCCUUGCCGAGCCAGGAAGCUGUGGGGACAGCAGAGGUCACGCCCCUGUGA